GUCCCGAAGGAGGGCAAGGUGAAGCCGCCCUCUCACGGCGGCAACAGGGGUUCGAAUCCCCUAUGGGACGCCA
rnacentral:tRNA from 1 species